rnacentral:tRNA from 1 species
UGGGGCGUGGCUCAGAGGCAGUGCGUGUGCUUCACAUGCACAAAGCCUGGGUUUGAUCCCAGCACCAAAA